rnacentral:rRNA from 1 species
CAAUAGCGUAUACUAAAGUUGUUGCGAUUAAAAAGCUCGUAGUUGGAUCUCGGGUGCGGGCGCGCGGUCUAGCCAUCGGCUCAGCACUGCGUUGUUACACUUGUUGUAAGCCCGUCCUACGCUUCCCGGUCACGGACGGUGCCCUUGAYUGUGGCGUCAUCCUAGCCGGAACGUUUACUUUGAAGAAAUUAGAGUGUUCAAAGCAGGCCAUGGCCCGCAUACAUUGCAUGGAAUAAUGGAAUAGGACCUCGGUUCUAUUUUGCUGGUUUUCGGAACACGAGGUAAUGAUUAAUAGGAACGGACGGGGGCAUCCGUACUGUGGUGUUAGAGGUGAAAUUCUUGGAUCAUUGCAAGACGAACGACUGCGAAAGCACUUGCCAAGCAUGUUUUCAUUAGUCAAGAACGAAAGUCAGAGGUUCGAAGACGAUCAGAUACCGUCGUAGUUCUGACCAUAAACGAUGCCAACUAGCGAUUCGAGGGUGUUGCUUCAUCGACCCCUCGGGCAGCUUCCGGGAAACCAAAGUGUUUGGGUUUCGGGGGAAGUAUGGUUGCAAAGCUGAAACUUAAAGGAAUUGACGGAAGG